UACGAAGGGGGCUAGCGUUGUUCGGAAUCACUGGGCGUAAAGCGCACGUAGGCGGCUUCUUAAGUCAGGGGUGAAAUCCUGGAGCUCAACUCCAGAACUGCCUUUGAUACUGGGAGGCUCGAGUCCGGAAGAGGUGAGUGGAACUGCGAGUGUAGAGGUGAAAUUCGUAGAUAUUCGCAAGAACACCAGUGGCGAAGGCGGCUCACUGGUCCGGUACUGACGCUGAGGUGCGAAAGCGUGGGGAGCAAACAGG
rnacentral:rRNA from 1 species